GCUUGUCUCAAAGAUUAAGCCAUGCAUGUCUAAGUAUAAGCUAUUUAUACGAGUGAAACUGCGAAUGGCUCAUUAUAUCAGUUAUAGUUUAUUUGAUGGUACUUACUACAUGGAUAACCGUAGUAAUUCUAGAGCUAAUACAUGCAUCAAACCCCGACUUCUGGAAGGGGUGUAUUUAUUAGAUAAAAAACCAAUCCGGCAACGGUGCUUGGUGAUUCAUAAUAACUGUUCGAAGCGCACGGCCUCGCGCCGGCGCUAGUUCAUUCAAAUUUCUGCCCUAUCAGCUUUCGACGGUAGUGUAGUGGACUACCGUGGCGCUAACGGGUGACGGAGAAUUAGGGUUCGGUUCCGGAGAGGGAGCCUGAGAAACGGCUACCACAUCCAAGGAAGGCAGCAGG
rnacentral:rRNA from 1 species